rnacentral:rRNA from 1 species
GUGCCAGCAGCCGCGGUAAUACAGAGGGGGCAAGCGUUAUUCGGAAUUAUUGGGCGUAAAGGGCGCGUAGGCGGCUUUGCAAGUGACGGGUGAAAUCCCUCGGCUUAACCGAGGAACUGCCUGUCAGACUGCAUGGCUUGAGACCAGGAGAGGUGAGUGGAAUUCCCAGUGUAGCGGUGAAAUGCGUAGAUAUUGGGAGGAACACCAGUGGCGAAGGCGGCUCACUGGACUGGUACUGACGCUGAGGCGCGAAAGCGUGGGGAGCAAACAGGAUUAGAUACCCCGGUAGUCC